rnacentral:rRNA from 1 species
AUUAGAUACCCUGGUAGUCCACACAGUAAACGAUGAAUACUCGCUGUUUGCGAUAUACUGCAAGCGGCCAAGCGAAAGCAUUAAGUAUUCCACCUGGGGAGUACGCCGGCAACGGUGAAACUCAAAGGAAUUGACGGGGGCCCGCACAAGCGGAGGAACAUGUGGUUUAAUUCGAUGAUACGCGAGGAACCUUACCCGGGCUUAAAUUGCACCUGAAUAAUGUGGAAACAUGUUAGCCGUAAGGCAGGUGUGAAGGUGCUGCAUGGUUGUCGUCAGCUCGUGCCGUGAGGUGUCGGCUUAAGUGCCAUAACGAGCGCAACCCUUAUCUUCAGUUACUAACAGGUCAUGCUGAGGACUCUGGAGAGACUGCCGUCGUAAGAUGUGAGGAAGGUGGGGAUGACGUCAAAUCAGCACGGCCCUUACGUCCGGGGCUACACACGUGUUACAAUGGGAGGUACAGAAGGCCGCUACCUGGCGACAGGAUGCCAAUCCCCAAAACCUCUCUCAGUUCGGAUCGAAGUCUGCAACCCGACUUCGUGAAGCUGGAUUCGCUAGUAAUCGCGCAUCAGCCAUGGCGCGGUGAAUACGUUCCCGGGCCUUGUACACACCGCCCGUCAAGCCAUGAAAGCCGGGGGUACCUGAAGUACGUAACCGCAAGGAUCGUCCUAGGGUAAAACUGGUAAUUGGGGCUAAGUCGUAACAAGGUACC